rnacentral:pre_miRNA from 1 species
GUGCUACUCCCUCCGUUCCGAAUUACUUGUCUUGAAUUUGUCUAGAUACGGAUGUAUCUAGCACUAAAAUGAGUCUAGAUACAUCCGUGUCUAGACAAAUUCAAGACAAGUAAUUUGGAACGGAGGGAGUACUUC